GACGAACGCUGGCGGCGUGCUUAACACAUGCAAGUCGAACGGAAAGGCCCUUCGGGGUACUCGAGUGGCGAACGGGUGAGUAACACGUGGGUGAUCUGCCCUGCACUUUGGGAUAAGCCUGGGAAACUGGGUCUAAUACCGAAUAGGACCACGGCAUUCAUGUGCUGUGGUGGAAAGCUUUUGCGGUGUGGGAUGGGGCCGCGGCCUAUCAGCUUGUUGGUGGGGGAAUGGCCUACCAAGGCGACGACGGGUAGCCGGCCUGGGAGGGUGACCGGCCACACUGGGACUGAGGUACGGCCCAGUCUCCUACGGGGGGCAGCAGUGGGGAAUAUUGCACAAUGGGGGCAAGCCUGAGGCAGCGACGCCGCGUGAGGGAUGACGGCCUUCGGGUUGUAAACCUCUUUCAGUACCGACGAAGCGCAAGUGACGGUAGGUACAGAAGAAGGACCGGCCAACUACGUGCCAGCAGCCGCCGUAAGAC
rnacentral:rRNA from 1 species